UUCCGUAGGUGAACCUGCGGAGGGAUCAUUACAAGUGACCCCGGUCUAACCACCGGGAUGUUCAUAACCCUUUGUUGUCCGACUCUGUUGCCUCCGGGGCGACCCUGCCUUCGGGCGGGGGCUCCGGGUGGACACUUCAAACUCUUGCGUAACUUUGCAGUCUGAGUAAAUUUAAUUAAUAAAUUAAAACUUUUAACAACGGAUCUCUUGGUUCUGGCAUCGAUGAAGAACGCAGCGAAAUGCGAUAAGUAAUGUGAAUUGCAGAAUUCAGUGAAUCAUCGAAUCUUUGAACGCACAUUGCGCCCCCUGGUAUUCCGGGGGGCAUGCCUGUUCGAGCGUCAUUUCACCACUCAAGCCUCGCUUGGUAUUGGGCAACGCGGUCCGCCGCGUGCCUCAAAUCGACCGGCUGGGUCUUCUGUCCCCUAAGCGUUGUGGAAACUAUUCGCUAAAGGGUGCUCGGGAGGCUACGCCGUAAAACAAACCCAUUUCUAAGGUUGACCUCGGAUCAGGUAGGGAUACCCGCUGAACUUAAGCAUAUCAAUAAGCGGAGGAA
rnacentral:rRNA from 1 species